UGAGAAAAUGACUCCACCAGAUUGGCC
rnacentral:piRNA from 1 species